rnacentral:rRNA from 1 species
AGUGAACGCUGGCGGUAGGCCUAACACAUGCAAGUCGAACGGCAGCACAGUAAGAGCUUGCUCUUACGGGUGGCGAGUGGCGGACGGGUGAGGAAUACAUCGGAAUCUACUUUUUCGUGGGGGAUAACGGAGGGAAACUUACGCUAAUACCGCAUACGACCUACGGGUGAAAGCAGGGGAUCUUCGGACCUUGCGCGAUUGAAUAAGCCGAUGUCGGAUUAGCUAGUUGGCGGGGUAAAGGCCCACCAAGGCGACGAUCCGUAGCCGGUCUGAGAGGAUGAUCAGCCACACUGGAACUGAGACACGGUCCAGACUCCUACGGGAGGCAGCAGUGGGGAAUAUUGGACAAUGGGCGCAAGCCUGAUCCAGCCAUACCGCGUGGGUGAAGAAGGCCUUCGGGUUGUAAAGCCCUUUUGUUGGGAAAGAAAAGCAGCAGGUUAAUACCCCGCUGUUCUGACGGUACCCAAAGAAUAAGCACCGGCUAACUUCGUG